rnacentral:rRNA from 1 species
CGGGACACGUGGUAUCCUGUCUGAAUAUGGGGGGACCAUCCUCCAAGGCUAAAUACUCCUGACUGACCGAUAGUGAACCAGUACCGUGAGGGAAAGGCGAAAAGAACCCCGGCGAGGGGAGUGAAAAAGAACCUGAAACCGUGUACGUACAAGCAGUGGGAGCACGCUUAGGCGUGUGACUGCGUACCUUUUGUAUAAUGGGUCAGCGACUUAUAUUCUGUAGCAAGGUUAACCGAAUAGGGGAGCCGAAGGGAAACCGAGUCUUAACUGGGCGUUAAGUUGCAGGGUAUAGACCCGAAACCCGGUGAUCUAGCCAUGGGCAGGUUGAAGGUUGGGUAACACUAACUGGAGGACCGAACCGACUAAUGUUGAAAAAUUAGCGGAUGACUUGUGGCUGGGGGUGAAAGGCCAAUCAAACCGGGAGAUAGCUGGUUCUCCCCGAAAGCUAUUUAGGUAGCGCCUCGUGAAUUCAUCUCCGGGGGUAGAGCACUGUUUCGGCAAGGGGGUCAUCCCGACUUACCAACCCGAUGCAAACUGCGAAUACCGGAGAAUGUUAUCACGGGAGACACACGGCGGGUGCUAACGUCCGUCGUGAAGAGGGAAACAACCCAGACCGCCAGCUAAGGUCCCAAAGUCAUGGUUAAGUGGGAAACGAUGUGGGAAGGCCCAGACAGCCAGGAUGUUGGCUUAGAAGCAGCCAUCAUUUAAAGAAAGCGUAAUAGCUCACUGGUCGAGUCGGCCUGCGCGGAAGAUGUAACGGGGCUAAACCAUGCACCGAAGCUGCGGCAGCGACGCUGAUGCGUUGUUGGGUAGGGGAGCGUUCUGUAAGCCUGUGAAGGUGUGCUGUGAGGCAUGCUGGAGGUAUCAGAAGUGCGAAUGCUGACAUAAGUAACGAUAAAGCGGGUGAAAAGCCCGCUCGCCGGAAGACCAAGGGUUCCUGUCCAACGUUAAUCGGGGCAGGGUGAGUCGACCCCUAAGGCGAGGCCGAAAGGCGUAGUCGAUGGGAAACAGGUUAAUAUUCCUGUACUUGGUGUUACUGCGAAGGGGGGACGGAGAAGGCUAUGUUGGCCGGGCGACGGUUGUCCCGGUUUAAGCGUGUAGGCUGGUUUUCCAGGCAAAUCCGGAAAAUCAAGGCUGAGGCGUGAUGACGAGGCACUACGGUGCUGAAGCAACAAAUGCCCUGCUUCCAGGAAAAGCCUCUAAGCAUCAGGUAACAUCAAAUCGUACCCCAAACCGACACAGGUGGUCAGGUAGAGAAUACCAAGGCGCUUGAGAGAACUCGGGUGAAGGAACUAGGCAAAAUGGUGCCGUAACUUCGGGAGAAGGCACGCUGAUAUGUAGGUGAAGCGACUUGCUCGUGGAGCUGAAAUCAGUCGAAGAUACCAGCUGGCUGCAACUGUUUAUUAAAAACACAGCACUGUGCAAACACGAAAGUGGACGUAUACGGUGUGACGCCUGCCCGGUGCCGGAAGGUUAAUUGAUGGGGUCAGCGCAAGCGAAGCUCUUGAUCGAAGCCCCGGUAAACGGCGGCCGUAACUAUAACGGUCCUAAGGUAGCGAAAUUCCUUGUCGGGUAAGUUCCGACCUGCACGAAUGGCGUAAUGAUGGCCAGGCUGUCUCCACCCGAGACUCAGUGAAAUUGAACUCGCUGUGAAGAUGCAGUGUACCCGCGGCAAGACGGAAAGACCCCGUGAACCUUUACUAUAGCUUGACACUGAACAUUGAGCCUUGAUGUGUAGGAUAGGUGGGAGGCUUUGAAGUGUGGACGCCAGUCUGCAUGGAGCCGGCCUUGAAAUACCACCCUUUAAUGUUUGAUGUUCUAACGUUGACCCGUGAUCCGGGUUGCGGACAGUGUCUGGUGGGUAGUUUGACUGGGGCGGUCUCCUCCUAAAGAGUAACGGAGGAGCACGAAGGUUGGCUAAUCCUGGUCGGACAUCAGGAGGUUAGUGCAAUGGCAUAAGCCAGCUUGACUGCGAGCGUGACGGCGCGAGCAGGUGCGAAAGCAGGUCAUAGUGAUCCGGUGGUUCUGAAUGGAAGGGCCAUCGCUCAACGGAUAAAAGGUACUCCGGGGAUAACAGGCUGAUACCGCCCAAGAGUUCAUAUCGACGGCGGUGUUUGGCACCUCGAUGUCGGCUCAUCACAUCCUGGGGCUGAAGUAGGUCCCAAGGGUAUGGCUGUUCGCCAUUUAAAGUGGUACGCGAGCUGGGUUUAGAACGUCGUGAGACAGUUCGGUCCCUAUCUGCCGUGGGC